rnacentral:tRNA from 1 species
GGGCGAGUGGCGGAACUGGCAUACGCACGACACUUAAAAUGUUGUGUCCGGAAGGACUUGUGGGUUCGAAUCCCACCUCGCCCA